rnacentral:rRNA from 1 species
GGUUAAGUGACUAAGCGUACACGGUGGAUGCCCUGGCAGUCAGAGGCGAUGAAGGACGUGCUAAUCUGCGAAAAGCGUCGGUAAGGUGAUAUGAACCGUUAUAACCGGCGAUGUCCGAAUGGGGAAACCCAGUGCAAUUCGUUGCACUAUCGUUAACUGAAUACAUAGGUUAACGAGGCGAACCGGGGGAACUGAAACAUCUAAGUACCCCGAGGAAGAGAAAUCAACCGAGAUUCCCCGAGUAGCGGCGAGCGAACGGGGAGCAGCCCAAAGUCUGAAUCAGCUUGUGUGGGUUAGUGGAACGGUCUGGAAAGUCCGACGGUACAGGGUGAUAGCCCCGUACACCAAAAUGCACAGGUUGUGAACUCGAAGAGUAGGGCGGGACACGUGGUAUCCUGUCUGAAUACGGGGGGACCAUCCUCCAAGGCUAAAUACUCCUGACUGACCGAUAGUGAACCAGUACCGUGAGGGAAAGGUGAAAAGAACCCCGGCGAGGGGAGUGAAAAAGAACCUGAAACCGUGUACGUACAAGCAGUGGGAGCACCUUCGGGUGUGACUGCGUACCUUUUGUAUAAUGGGUCAGCGACUUAUAUUCUGUAGCAAGGUUAACCGUAUAGGGGAGCCGCAGGGAAACCGAGUCUUAACUGGGCGUUAAGUUGUAGGGUAUAGACCCGAAACCCGGUGAUCUAGCCAUGGGCAGGUUGAAGGUUGGGUAACACUAACUGGAGGACCGAACCGACGAAUGUUGAAAAAUUAGCGGAUGACUUGUGGCUGGGGGUGAAAGGCCAAUCAAACCGGGAGAUAGCUGGUUCUCCCCGAAAGCUAUUUAGGUAGCGCCUCGUGAAUUCAUCUUCGGGGGUAGAGCACUGUUUCGGCUAGGGGGUCAUCCCGACUUACCAACCCGAUGCAAACUACGAAUACCGAAGAAUGUUAUCACGGGAGACACACGGCGGGUGCUAACGUCCGUCGUGAAGAGGGAAACAACCCAGACCGCCAGCUAAGGUCCCAAAGUCACAGUUAAGUGGAAAAGGAUGUGGGGAUGCACAGACAGCCAGGAUGUUGGCUUAGAAGCAGCCAUCAUUUAAAGAAAGCGUAAUAGCUCACUGGUCGAGUCGGCCUGCGCGGAAGAUGUAACGGGGCUAAACUGUGCACCGAAGCUGCGGCAGCGACACUAUGUGUUGUUGGGUAGGGGAGCGUUCUGUAAGCCUGCGAAGGUGGCCUGUGAGGGUUGCUGGAGGUAUCAGAAGUGCGAAUGCUGACAUAAGUAACGAUAAUGCGGGUGAAAAGCCCGCACGCCGGAAGACCAAGGGUUCCUGGCCAACGUUAAUCGGGGCAGGGUGAGUCGACCCCUAAGGCGAGGCCGAAAGGCGUAGUCGAUGGGAAACAGGUUAAUAUUCCUGUACUUGGUGUUACUGCGAAGGGGGGACGGAGAAGGCUAUGUUAGCCGGGCGACGGUUGUCCCGGUUUAAGCAUGUAGGCGGAGGUUCCAGGUAAAUCCGGUACCUUUUUAACGCUGAGGUGUGAUGACGAGGCACUACGGUGCCGAAGUAACAAAUGCCCUGCUUCCAGGAAAAGCCUCUAAGCAUCAGGUAACAUUAAAUCGUACCCCAAACCGACACAGGUGGUCAGGUAGAGAAUACCAAGGCGCUUGAGAGAACUCGGGUGAAGGAACUAGGCAAAAUGGUGCCGUAACUUCGGGAGAAGGCACGCUGAUAUGUAGGUGAAGUCCCUGCGGAUGGAGCUGAAAUCAGUCGAAGAUACCAGCUGGCUGCAACUGUUUAUUAAAAACACAGCACUGUGCAAACACGAAAGUGGACGUAUACGGUGUGACGCCUGCCCGGUGCCGGAAGGUUAAUUGAUGGGGUUAUCCGUAAGGAGAAGCUCUGGAUUGAAGCCCCGGUAAACGGCGGCCGUAACUAUAACGGUCCUAAGGUAGCGAAAUUCCUUGUCGGGUAAGUUCCGACCCGCACGAAUGGCGUAACGAUGGCCAGGCUGUCUCCACCCGAGACUCAGUGAAAUUGAACUCGCUGUGAAGAUGCAGGGUACCCGCGGCAAGACGGAAAGACCCCGUGAACCUUUACUAUAGUUUGAUACUGAACAUUGAGCCUUGAUGUGCAGGAUAGGUGGGAGGCUUUGAAGCGUGGACGCCAGUCUGCGUGGAGCCAACCUUGAAAUACCACCCUUUAAUGUUUGAUGUUCUAACGUUGGCCCCUUAUCGGGGUUGCGGACAGUGUCUGGUGGGUAGUUUGACUGGGGCGGUCUCCUCCCAAAGAGUAACGGAGGAGCACGAAGGUUAGCUAAUCCUGGUCGGACAUCAGGAGGUUAGUGCAAUGGCAUAAGCUAGCUUGACUGCGAGCGUGACGGCGCGAGCAGGUGCGAAAGCAGGUCAUAGUGAUCCGGUGGUUCUGAAUGGAAGGGCCAUCGCUCAACGGAUAAAAGGUACUCCGGGGAUAACAGGCUGAUACCGCCCAAGAGUUCAUAUCGACGGCGGUGUUUGGCACCUCGAUGUCGGCUCAUCACAUCCUGGGGCUGAAGUAGGUCCCAAGGGUAUGGCUGUUCGCCAUUUAAAGUGGUACGCGAGCUGGGUUUAGAACGUCGUGAGACAGUUCGGUCCCUAUCUGCCGUGGGCGCUGGAGAAUUGAGGGGGGCUGCUCCUAGUACGAGAGGACCGGAGUGGACGCAUCACUGGUGUUCGGGUUGUCAUGCCAAUGGCAUUGCCCGGUAGCUAAAUGCGGAAGAGAUAAGUGCUGAAAGCAUCUAAGCACGAAACUUGCCCCGAGAUGAGUUCUCCCUGAGACUUUAAGUCUCCUGAAGGAACGUUAAAGACGAUGACGUUGAUAGGUCGGGUGUGUAAGCGUAGCGAUACGUUGAGCUAACCGAUACUAAUGAACCGUGAGGCUUAACCUU